rnacentral:rRNA from 1 species
UACGAAGGGGGCUAGCGUUGUCCGGAUUUAUUGGGCGUAAAGAGCGUGUAGGCGGCCGCACAGGUCCGUUGUGAAAACUGGAGGCUUAACCUUCAGACGUCGAUGGAAACCGUGCGGCUAGAGUCCGGAAGAGGAGAGUGGAAUUCCUGGUGUAGCGGUGAAAUGCGCAGAUAUCAGGAAGAACACCCGUGGCGAAGGCGGCUCUCUAGUACGGUACUGACGCUGAGACGCGAAAGCGUGGGUAGCAAACAGG